rnacentral:rRNA from 1 species
UACAGAGGUCUCGAGCGUUAGGCGGAAUCACUGGGCUUAAAGCGUGUGUAGGCGGGCCCGUAAGUGUCUUGUGAAAUCCCACGGCUCAACUGUGGGCUUGCAGCUGAUACGGGCGGGCUUGGAUUCGGUAGGGGAGACUGGAAUUCCUGGUGUAGCGGUGAAAUGCGCAGAUAUCAGGAGGAACACCGGUGGCGAAGGCGGGUCUCUGGGCCGAUAUCGACGCUGAGGAGCGAAAGCGUGGGGAGCGAACAGG